GAUGAACGCUGGCGGCGCGCCUAACACAUGCAAGUCGAACGGUUAAAGCACCUUUUAGGUGUGUAUAAAGUGGCGAACGGCUGAGUAACACGUGGGCAACCUGCCCUCCUCUUGGGGAUAGCCUCGGGAAACCGAGGAUAAUACCCGAUACUUCAAUGUGGCCGCAUGACGACAUUGAGAAAGCUUUUGCGGAGAAGGAUGGGCCCGCGGCCUGUUAGCUUGUUGGUGGGGUAGAGGCCUACCAAGGCAAUGAUGGGUAGCUGGGUUGAGAGACCGACCAGCCAGAUUGGGACUGAGACACGGCCCAGACUCCUACGGGAGGCAGCAGUGGGGAAUCUUGCACAAUGGGCGAAAGCCUGAUGCAGCGACGCCGCGGGCGGGACGAAGGCCUUCGGGUUGGAAACCGCUUUCAGCAGGGACGAGGCGAUAAGUGACGGUACCUGCAGAAGAAGCCCCGGCUAACUACGUG
rnacentral:rRNA from 1 species